AACUGAUGACGUAUUACGCAUGACUGAAUCCCGGAAGAAGAUUGCUGUAUAGUAUUUAUCAAGAACUCCCAGAAACUAAGAGUACUUGCUUGAUUUACUGCAUAAAAUCACUGUUGCACAGCAGUGCAGCAGAGUUUUAAAGCGUCUGCAACUAUGGGGUUCGGGACAGACUUCCAGGGCCGCGAGUCCCAUGAUGCUUUGCUACGGAUUCAAGACACGGAAAUUCGUCUGCUCGAGAAUAUGAAAGUAUGCCUGCAAAAAAGAAUCGAUGGCGAUCGUAAAUAUCUCAACUCGAUUACUACGUUCGUUCAGAUGGCCAUGAAAAUGGAGGAGACAGAAUAUCAUUCCUAUUGUUCUGUGUUUAAGGCCUGGAAUACAGAUA